UAGCUUAGUUGGUUAAAGCGCCGGUCUAGCGAAUACGGAGUCGUGGGUUCGAAUCCCAC
rnacentral:tRNA from 1 species